AGGCGCGGGUGUUCGGCUACGUCACUGGGGCGCUACGGUUCCUGGAGCUGGGCAGUCUUCUCGUCAGAGUGGGGACUGGUAAGAGCGACCUCCCCGCCAGGUCCUGUGUGUUGCCGGCUGAAGAAGGGAUGAUGAUUAUUCCCCACCUUCUAAGAGACAAAGACCAACGAGCCACCACAGCCACCAGUCCCAGAACCCGCCAAUGCUGGGGAAUGGAAAAUGAGGGAGUUCAACUCUGGCCCUCACAAUCCAGUGGAGGAGACGAAACUCAUCUGCCUCUGUCCCUCUGGGCACACCUCAUGCCAGGUGCAUCUGUGGACAGGGGCCAUGCUCCUGGGCUUCCAAAGUUGGAGAAAGCUGCCAGGCUCAGACCCACCUAAGCUGAAGAUUCCCUUGAGAACAAGUACUGUCCUGUGGUUUCAUGGCCUUUCUUCCAUUUGUGGUUCUUGCGAAGUGGAAUUUAAAUGACAUCUUAUCAAGAUGGAUAAACCCUAGUUUCCCAGUGCUGGAAUAUAGAAAAUGGAUGGACAAGUAAAUCCCACUCAGUACCCAUAGGCCAGGCAUGGGGACCUCAACACACCUGAGCCCCAGACAUCACCUUUCAUUCUGGACCUACCAUGAAAGACUUCUGAAUCCAGGAAGAGAAACUGACUGGGCAACAUGUUAUUCAGGUACAAAAAGACUUGGACUGUAACUCAAAAAUGAUCAAAUAAUAGUGCAUGCAUCAAGUGCAAUGGGAAGCUCUUCUGGAGAGGGAGAGAAGCUUCCAGUUAAGGUGACAUUGAAGCCAAGUCCUGAAAG
rnacentral:lncRNA from 1 species